GACGAACGCUGGCGGCGUGCUUAACACAUGCAAGUCGUACGGUAAGGCCCUUUCGGGGGUACACGAGUGGCGAACGGGUGAGUAACACGUGAGUAACCUGCCCACAACUUUGGGAUAACGCUAGGAAACUGGUGCUAAUACUGGAUAUGUGCUCCUGCUGCAUGGUGGGGGUUGGAAAGCUCCGGCGGUUGUGGAUGGACUCGCGGCCUAUCAGCUUGUUGGUGGGGUAGUGGCCUACCAAGGCGGCGACGGGUAGCCGGCCUGAGAGGGUGACCGGCCACAGUGGGACUGAGAUACGGCCCAGACUCCUACGGGAGGCAGCAGUGGGGAAUAUUGCACAAGGGGCGCAAGCCUGAUGCAGCAACGCCGCGGGCGGGAUGACGGCCUUCGGGUUGUAAACCGCUUUUAGCAGGGACGAAGCUUUUUGUGACGGUACCUGCAGAAGAAGCACCGGCUAACUACGUG
rnacentral:rRNA from 1 species